AUGUUUAUGGAACCCUUUCCUCGGAGAAAUGAUAAUCGAACAGUUUUAUUUCUCUGUGUGUGUAGUGUAACCUGUCGAACCUGGUGUGAGGCAACUGAAGACUGUAACUUGAACAGUAUGAAAGAGUUUUGCUGCCACCUAAUGGAAAAGUAUCAUAUUUUUUAUUAUUCUGCAAUAGACAACUUUCUUUUUACCUCAUUGAAUAUUCAUGUCAAAACUACAUUCAUUAUUUUUUUUAAAAAAAGCAUAGACACGAAAGUUAUUUUAUUGAUAUAUUUUUGGUAAAAUGUAUGCAUUAUAAGUUUGAAAUUUUGAAAAUUAUGUUUCCUUAAAGUGAGGCAUAGAUUUGAAUUUUAUAAUCUAAUGUCAGGCAUUUAUUUCUCAUUAUCCUCUGCUGUAAAUAUAUUUGCAACUUAGUGCUCAUUUCAUUUAUCACAUUGAAUACCAUUCAGGUAGGCCCUUGCAUGCAGAGAAAUGAGUUAUUUAAAAAUGAAUACCGC
rnacentral:lncRNA from 12 species